AAUGGAGGAAACUCUGAUGCAGCGAUGCCGCGUGAGUGAAGAAGGCCUUUGGGUUGUAAAGCUCUUUCGUCGGGGAAGAAAAUGACUGUACCCGAAUAAGAGGGUCCGGCUAACUUCGUGCCAGCAGCCGCGGUAAUACGAAGGGACCUAGCGUAGUUCGGAAUUACUGGGCUUAAAGAGUUCGUAGGUGGUUGAAAAAGUUGGUGGUGAAAUCCCAGAGCUUAACUCUGGAACUGCCAUCAAAACUUUUCAGCUAGAGUAUGAUAGAGGAAAGCAGAAUUUCUAGUGUAGAGGUGAAAUUCGUAGAUAUUAGAAAGAAUACCAAUUGCGAAGGCAGCUUUCUGGAUCAUUACUGACACUGAGGAACGAAAGCAUGGGUAGCGAAGAGGAUU
rnacentral:rRNA from 1 species